rnacentral:rRNA from 1 species
AUUGAACGCUGGCGGCAGGCCUAACACAUGCAAGUCGAGCGGUAGAGAGGUGCUUGCAUCUCUUGAGAGCGGCGGACGGGUGAGUAAUGCCUAGGAAUCUGCCCUAGUGGUGGGGGAUAACGUUCGGAAACGGACGCUAAUACCGCAUACGUCCUACGGGAGAAAGCGGGGGAUCUUCGGACCUCGCGCCAUUAGAUGAGCCUAGGUCGGAUUAGCUAGUUGGUGAGGUAAUGGCUCACCAAGGCGACGAUCCGUAACUGGUCUGAGAGGAUGAUCAGUCACACUGGAACUGAGACACGGUCCAGACUCCUACGGGAGGCAGCAGUGGGGAAUAUUGGACAAUGGCGAAAGCCUGAUCCAGCCAUGCCGCGUGUGUGAAGAAGGUCUUCGGAUUGUAAAGCACUUUAAGUUGGGAGGAAGGGUAGUAACCUAAUACGUUGCUACUUUGAC